UGCCUGUGUCCUUAAACGCCUCACUGAGUCAAGAACAUGCAAUUCUCUCUUUUUCUCUACAGAUGAUGGAUGCCGUUUUUUGUUCUUCCAUGCAAAGAGAUAUGACAAAGGUCACCAGUCGGACUUGAACCAGGUCAACCUCUCAGUGAACUCAACACUCACCGAAGACUGUGGUUCUCUCCUCUCUAUAAAGUCACGUUCAGGGAGUAAGGCACAUAUCUUUGCCACCACCAGUAAGCAGUCAACAUUACAGGACAUGGCGAGCAUCAAACGCCAUCUUUGUCAGCUGAUAUUCAAAUAUGCAUCUCCAACUGAUGAUACUGCCCCACUUGCGAACUAGGGAAUUGUUAUGGGAGUCGCUAGUUAGUCACCACUCGAUUCCUUCUAUUGCUGGAAGACGGGACGUCACGUUUGUCAGCACUGUGUAAGACUGUUGGGUAGGAUGUUUAAUAUCAUUGUCAUUGUGUGUGUUUGUGAGGCACAAAUCUCCUUUGGCUGAAUAAAAGUCACUGUUUAAAUCUGA